CCUCUCACACCGUCCCGCCACUCUCCGAACUCCACAACAACCGGAACCCCGCCUCCUAACGUCACCAGCACACGUGACCUGCGUACCCGGAUGAGAGAAGGAAGCUACGAGUACCGACGUCAUCAGUCAGCGCUGGGAUUCCCUUAUAUACGUUACUUAUGUGCGCGACGUGGUGACGUCAAACGUCGCUUCGCUCUUGACGUUCGCUUCUGCGCGACGAGCCUCUUAGGUUCCCGCCAAAUCGUGUGUGGAAAGAGUGACAGCGGCGGAAGGUCGUCUGCAGGAUAACGACCUGUGAGCACCAUGUCUCCGCUCGCUCUGCACGGCUCCAUCCGUAUCCACUGCCUGAAUAUGGGGACGUCUAAGUGGAAGGAGGGCAGAUGUGAGGUGAUGGAGAAGGACAGCAGGUUUACCCUUGUGGUCAACUUCAAGGCCGGGGGAGCGCCAGCAAAAUUCCAGCUCAAUCAGAACAUCAAGCACAUCGUCCUGAGGCCGGUGGGGACAAAGCAGUCGCGCCUUCUGCUCACCAUGAAAGAUUCAGUUCUCUGACCAUUGAUAAGGUCCCAAGCAAAGAG